GCUGGGGACCGGUUCGACCGAUUUCAGUUGGCUCAUUACGUGGCUGACUCCCAUUCUCACUCCUCUGUUAGUAAUAGGACUUCUAUUAAUGGUCGCUCCCUGCCUCCUCAGGUUCGCCUAAAAGUACAUGAGUGAAAUCACCAGAGUGACCUACUACCAGAUGCUCCUACACUCCUACAGUCGCCUCCCCACCAAACUGACACCCUUCCAGAACCUCUAGCCAGCAGGAAGUAGCCAGAUGGAAUUUGGCACCCUAUAUCAUCAAAAAGGCCAGGAUGCUAGGUAUGUUGAGGGGGCUAAGGGAUCAAAGCACCAGGCAACAACCAAUCAGGGGCCAACAGAAAGCAGUGAUAGUCGCCUGUCAAUCAGUGGGGUCUCCUGACUGAUCCUGGAAGGACAUGGAGCUCAGCAAGAUCCUCUGACCAACCCCAGGAGGACAAGGGACCCUAAAAACCUCCCUUUCCUGUCUCAAGCCCUCCCUUCCUUCCCUGAGCCUGAUAAAUUUACGAUCCAUCUGAGCCUGGGUACGACUUCCCUGGACCCCCUCGGUUGGACUAGAGGUUCUCACCCAGGAGCGAACCUCAAUAAAGCCUUGUUCAGCAGCUUUUAAUCUGCCUCCUCUUGGUCACUGGUGCCUGACCUUACACCACUAAUUUAUGUGAGAUGCCUUUGAUUCAUUGUAAGACUCCAAUUUAAAUUAUUUUAUUUUAUUUAUGAAACAGCUUACCUUGUGUUUUUGUUUAUUUGUUUGUUUUGGUACCAGGAAUUGUACCCCGAGGUGCUUGAUCACUAAGCUACAUCUCAGGCCCUUUUUAUUUUUUGAGACCAUGUCUCACCAAGUCUUAGAACCUCUCUAAGUUGUUAAGGUUGGUCUCGAACUUGGGACCGUCCUGCCUCAGCCUCCCAAGCUGCUGGGAUUACAGGUGUGCACCAUCACGCCUGGCAAACAGCUUACCUUUUGUCCAGUUUUACACACGUAAAGAAUUAGGACAGUACAAAGCAGCCAUAGUCCGUCUACACGGGGUUACACAUAUCAGGUAUUUUCAGGAACUAUGACUAAACCAUCCACUGGAUGUAUUUGCCUGUUUCCAGGCUUCUGUGUGGCACCUGCUGCAUUGACCCCAGGGGCCUCUCGCCCCCGCCAGACCUAGUCUUGUUUCUCCACAUCACCUCGCCCCGUUCUUUUGAACCAGAACUCAGGCACCUCUCAUUUCAUUCAUACCACUUUCAAUGUAUCUCUAAAAGACCAGAAUCAGAAACCUCUUUGCAGGGCAGGGAUGUGGCUCCAUGGUGGGAUGCUUGCUAGGAAGCCUCAAGUCCCAGGUUCCGUCCCCAGCACUGGAAAAAAAAUCAUGGUUCCAUUAUCAUUCCUAAAAAUUACUGGUGACACAGUGUUAUCAAAGAGCCAAUUUGUUCAUACAAAUGUAUCCAUUUGUCUGAUUUUUAAAAAAUGUUUUACACAAUUUGUCUGCAUCAGGUUGCAGAGAGGUCAGCACACCUGAGGUUUCUCCUGUGUCUUUUAAGGCUCUCUUGGUCUGUCCCUCUCUCUUCCCCCCUUGCUGCUGUUGUGUUGAAGAAGUCAGGUGGUUUGUCCCAUAGUGUUUCCAGGGUUGAGCACCCGUGGGGUCCUUGAUGUCCUUCCCCCCCCUGGACCUCCUGUGAGUUGGUUGUUAGAUCUCAGGGCUCCAUGAGGUUCAGGCUUGGUGCUUGGCCCAGCAGGCACGUGCUUAGGGAGUUUGGAAGGGGAGGCCUGGCGUACCCCAGUUUGGGGUGGAAAGGUGGGCUGAGGCGUCCCCCUGUGACAGCCACUGUGGUUUAACCAUCCAGAAUCAGCUGGCACUGCUCUUUCCCCCAAGUGCUCUGGUGGGUACUACUUUAAAUACUCGAUGAAACCAGCAAAAGUAAAUGGAGCAGGGAGACAGGAAAAGACCCACCCAUGGGUAAUGUGCACAGGGAUGUGAAGGGCUGUGGUGGCUGUGCCCGAAGCCCACUCGGGCUGACCCAUCCAGGGAAGGUGACCUCCUGCCCUGUCCCCCAUGGCUGCACCCACCUCCAGCAGGGCCCUGGUGGCAGGAAGUGCCUCAUUGUUCCAACUUGCACAUCAAGUGCCAGCAGCAGGAACCUCUUGUCACACGCUUGAUGCCGUUUGUGUGGUGUCUUGAGAAAUGUCUCUUCGCCUCUUUUUGCCCAUUUGAAAAAUUGGGUUAUUUGUGUUUUUAUCAUUGAGUUGUAAUGAUGCUUUAGUAUUGUGGACACCGGCCCCUGUAAGGGGUGUGACCCACCACGUUCCUCCUCCGUGGUCGGAUCAUCAUUUUCUGUUUCUUUGAAUACUUUCUCUGCCCCCAUCCUCCUCUGAUCCUCUGCCUACCCAGGUAGGCCCUUGUCACAGUCCCCCAGUUUAUUGUCUUUAAGACAAUAGAUUUGUUAAAGCACAAUUAAUGCCAACAUUUUUUUAAACACAUGUAGAUGUGCAAUGUAUGAUAACAACACAAGAGACCAGGCCGGAGACUUGGAAAUACGCUGUCACGUGGUUCUUGCACGGGGUCAUUUGAAGGUGGACUGGUUAAGGUAAAGAUGUGCACUUAAACCCUAUUGUAAAGGAGUCACUAGCGUGACACAGAGCUGUAGCUAUUAAGCCAACCAAGAGAAUGAGGUGCAAUCUUAAAAAUAACUCAUUGUGCUGGUGCAGUGUCACACACCUGUAAUCCUAGCUGCUCAGGAGGCUGUGCAGGAGGUUCGCAAGUUCAAGGCCAGCCUCGGCCACUUAGCAGGACCCUGUCUCAGAAAGGGCUGGGCAAACAUACAAUGCUCUUGAUUUGUUGAUUAUACAUAUCCUUUGAUUAAAGUCCAAACAUAACAAGUCUUUAGAGACAUUUUGUAUCAAAAAAAAAAAGAAACUGUGUUCUUUUGCAAGUUGC
rnacentral:lncRNA from 1 species